rnacentral:rRNA from 1 species
GACGAACGCUGGCGGCGUGCUUAACACAUGCAAGUCGAACGGAAAGGCCCUGCUUUUGUGGGGUGCUCGAGUGGCGAACGGGUGAGUAACACGUGAGUAACCUGCCCUUGACUUUGGGAUAACUUCAGGAAACUGGGGCUAAUACCGGAUAGGAGCUCCUGCUGCAUGGUGGGGGUUGGAAAGUUUCGGCGGUUGGGGAUGGACUCGCGGCUUAUCAGCUUGUUGGUGGGGUAGUGGCUUACCAAGGCUUUGACGGGUAGCCGGCCUGAGAGGGUGACCGGCCACAUUGGGACUGAGAUACCGCCCAGACUCCUACGGGAGGCAGCAGUGGGGAAUAUUGCACAAUGGGCGGAAGCCUGAUGCAGCAACGCCGCGUGCGGGAUGACGGCCUUCGGGUUGUAAACCGCUUUCGCCUGUGACGAAGCGUGAGUGACGGUAAUGGGUAAAGAAGCACCGGCUAACUACGUG